rnacentral:sRNA from 1 species
AGUAUAUGUUAUCAGUUUAUAAUACUAUUAUCUGGCAUGUGGACUAUGUGCGCCCACUUUGAUAUUAAAUUUAUUUUUUUUGGGAGGAUUCACUGUAGUGGCUUGCAACUAGGAGGACCCUCGUGUGUUGUUUGGGCAUUGCAUUGCUGCCAAUCUUAGAGCAACCCAACCAAAAUGAAGUAAAUUUUGUUAAACUGAGUAAGAUUAGUAUAGUUU